AUUGAACGCUGGCGGCAGGCCUAACACAUGCAAGUCGAACGAGUGGCGGACGGGUGAGUAAUAUCUGGGAAACUGCCUGAUGGAGGGGGAUAACUACUGGAAACGGUCGCUAAUACCGCAUACCAUCAGAUGUGCCCAGGUGGGAUUAGCUUGUUGGUGGGGAAACGGCGUACCAAGGCGACGAUCCCUAACUGGUCUGAGAGGAUGACAAGCCACACUGGAACUGAGACACGGUGCAGACUCCUACGGGAGGCAGCAGUGGGGAAUAUUGGAAAAGGGGCGCAAGCCUGAUGCAGCCAUGCAGCGUGUAUGAAGAAGGCAUUCGGGUUGUAAAGUACUUUCAGCGGGGAGGCGUUACCCGCAGAAGAAGCACCGGCUAACUCCGUGCCAGCCGCCGCGGUAAUUC
rnacentral:rRNA from 1 species